AGCCACCCAGGCGCCCCCGUUACUGUUUUUUUUUUCCCCCAUCGUGGCCGAGCUAGCGAGCGUGCGGUGGCACUUUGUCCGUGUCCUUGGUGACGGGAGUGUGGCGCCCCGGCCACCUCUGCACCGGGUCCUUGGCCCCGUUUUCGAUCAGGUGGUCUUUCGUACAGAGAUGCAAGUGCUCCUCGUGUGCUCCAGGUGCAAGUCCUUAGACACCUCACGUGGGUGAUGUGAUCUUACUCGGCACAGGUCGUGGGCGUCCUUCGAGACCGGGGUGCUCACACUUGCCACGUGCUGUCCCGCUGGACACACGCCGUGGGGCACGUGGUCAUCCCUCACCGACUCAGUCCCCGGGAGUUGGAGCUUGUGCGCUCCGCGGCCCUGAAACGCCACGGGGCCCCAGUGUGCUGUGAAGCCACGGGCAGGUGCUCAGCGGCGUCUGUGUGCUAGUUCUGCAGACAUCUGAUCCUGUCGGAGAAGGGCCACGUGGAGUGGAAGCUGAUGUACUUCGCGCUCCAGAAGCACUACCCGCCCCGGGAGCAGUACGGGGACACCCUGCACUUCUGCCGACACUGCAGCAUCCUCUUCUGGAAGGACUGCCGCCUUGCUUUGUUGUUCAAGGACUCGGGGCAUCCCUGCACCGCCACCGACCCCGACAGUUGCUUCAUGCCUGUGUCUCCACAGCACUUCAUCGACCUGUUCAAGUUCUGAGGGCGCCCGCCCACAGCCCGCCCUCCCGGUGGGAGGGGUUCACCGCGCUGCGCCGUCGCCGGGGAGCGACCUGAACACGGACAACACACUCCCCCCUCCCCGCCUGGACGUGGCAGGGGCCUUGGUUUGUUGUGAAAGGGGUCGGGGAACCCAAGCAAAAUCAUUUCUGCUUUCUCUAAAAGUCCUCUUCAUCUCAGCCCAUUAAGGUUUGCACCUUUGCGUGUUUAUAAAUAUGGUUCAGUAAGAUUGUGGAUUUUUAGCACCACGUCUGUGCCAGACUGACACUAACAGCCAAUGCUGUGCUUAACUGUCAAACCAUAGCUUCCUGAUUUUGUAGUAAUUAGGGGCAGGGGACAGAACAGUUGAUCCUUGUAAAUACGGGCGCAGAAUAUUUAUUUUUCUUAAUAUGUAUCUUAACUGCAUCGGUUGUGUCCAAGAGAGUCCUCGUCGAAUGCGAAGUGCGCUGAGGGUACCGUUGUGUCCGUGGUCAGUCUGUGGACAGCCACGGUGUGGGUGGUGGGCCCGCCCAGCGCAGCCUCCCCUUCACUGUCCUGGAAGUGCUUUCCUAGACAAAGUAAUAAAUCGUCUUUAUCGACUCGUCUGACGUCACUGAUUUUGCAUCUUCCUGAAAAAGUGGUGUCUGUGGUUUUGAUAUCGUUGAUUUAAUCCUUUAAAAGGUUGUUUUAUUUUUAAAAUAAGGCAUGUCCAUUUUAGAUGAUUUUGAAAAUAAAGGUGUUAUGAAAUAUACAAGUCCCCUGUCACCCUGCCCCCCGAGACCAGUGUUCCUGCUACAAAGAGCGGUUCCCACCCCCGCGCUGUGGGAGAGCGGUGUGAACCCCCGAAAGUCACUGCUCCGUCCUCCUCUAAUGUUUUCUUCUUCUAAGCAUAUUAAGAUGGCUUCGGUUUUGCGUGUUUGUAAAUAAAGAUUCUGGCUUUUCAGUGUCGCUGUCUGAGCUGACCUGGUGCUGAGGGCCAACGACGUGCUGCCCUCUGGACGCGGCGUGGAGCCCGGGGCGUCUGUUUCCCCUUUCCGUUUGACAACCAGCCGUGUUUUCAGAAGCACGUUUGAAAACGUGGGUCUUGCUGGCCGGCAGGGUGCUGCUGGUUCCUGCUGUCCCCCAGCUUGUGUGCGGCCAUCAUGCCCCUGAGGCAAAUGAGGAGCGGAGCCCAGUGAUGGCACCACGGGUCUGAGGGUGCCCAGGCCGCCCGUGUGAGCUGUUAGGGUCGUCCUGAGCGAUGGCUGCUGCAGAGCCCUUCCCCCGGCGCCGUUUUCCUGCCUGAAGGACAAGAAGGACACUGAAGUUUGUGCUCUUUUCCCCCAAACACGUGUUGGUAGCACAGAGGGGAGCCCAGCCGUUCCGCUCUGCCAGCACCUCCUGCAGGGGCAGGGAGGCCCGGGCAGGCCGGGGACGGUGGCAGCCUUCUCGGUGGCGUCAGGGAAGAGACGGGAAUGAGUAGAGGCCGCAGGCACCAAGACAGCCAUCAGUCCCCUACAGGGAGGGGCGAGACGCAGAACUGUCAUGAGUUCACACACCGGACGGUACUUACGUCUAUCGGGGGGCCUGCCAGAGGUCGGUCGGGACACGGAGAGCCGAGGACACCGUGAGCUGGAGACCCCGCAGCAUGUCUCAUGUGCCUCCAGUCCCCGACAGGGCCAGGCCGAGGCGUCCGCUUACGCCGGAGAUGGGACGAGCACCUGGGGGGCCCCAGUAGGCGCGACCAGCCAGGAAGCCCAUCCAGACGCUGCCUCCCCUCACCCCUUUCAAGGCACGAAAAGACGUUUCUCACCCGGUCUGUGGACACAGAGGACUGAGGUGGCCUCUGAACACCUCACGACGCAGCACUGUUGGCCGUUCAGGUUUCUGUACCGGGAGCCGGGUCUGCUUUAGGACAUUUAUGAUCUGACUGCACACAAUGUGUGCCGUAAAUGCGGUCCUUAGAAUCUGUAAAAUGCUGCUGUGUUUUGUGCCCCGUGGCCUGCUGAGCUCAGUCCACAGACGCUGCACCCUUCUCCAUCCCACCAGCAGUGCUCAGGUGCCCCAGUUUCUCCACGUUCUUGCCAACACCUGCUUUCUGGGGUGGUUGCUGUACAGUGACCAUCCUAACGGGUGUGAGGUGGUGUCUCCUGCUGGUUUGUUUGGAUUUGCAUCUCCUUGGUGAUCAGUGGUCCGGAGCACCUUCUCGUGUGGCUGUUGGCCAUCUGUGUGUCGUAUUUGGAGAGAUGUCUAUUCAAGUCCUGCGCCCAUUUUUUAGUCAAGUUGUGUGUUUUGUUGUUGAGUUGCAUGAGUUCUCUGUAUAUUCUAGAUACCAACACCUUACAGGUAUGUGAGUGGAAGGUAUUUUCCCCCAUUGUGAAGGUGCCUUUUCACUGUUGUGUCCUUGAGGCAUGCAAGUGUUAAUUUGAUGGAGCUCAUUUCCCUUUUUUCUGUGUUAGCUGACCUUUUCGUCUCCUAAGAGAUGGUUGACAAAUCCAAGGUCAUGAAACUUGCUGUUUUUGCCCAGAACUUUAUAGUUUUAUUUAGCUUUUAUGUUUAGGCCUUUGGUCCACUGAGCUAACACUUGUGUAUGGUGUCAGGUAAGGCCCAACUUCAUCCUUUCACAUGUGGACAUCCAGUUUUCCCAGCACCGUUUGUUGGAAACACUGCCCUUUCCCCCACUGAAUGGUGUUGGCACCUGUGUUGAAAAUCAUGAUUGUGUAUGUGGCAGUUUGUUUCUGAGCUCUCUGUCCUGUCCCAUUGGUCUGUGUGUCUGUCUGUGUGUUCUCAUUCUAGGACCAAACUGUUUUCAUUCCUGUAGCUCCAUAGUGAGUUCUUAAAUCAGGAUAUGCGAAUCCUGCAACUUUAUUCUUUUUCAGGAUUGUUUUGGCUAUUUGGGAUCCCUUGAGAGGCCAUGUAAAUUUUAGGAUUUUUUCUAUUCCUGCAAAAACUGCUAGAUUUUGAUGAGUCCAGUUAAUCUAUAGAUCACCUUGGGUGGUGGUGUCAUCUUAGUAAGUCAUACAGCCCACAAGCACAGUAGGUCUUUCCGUUUAUCUGUGCCUGCUCUGAUUGCUUUAAGCCACGUUAUAGUUUUCAGUGCACAAUACUUUAGCCUCUGUGGCUGAGUUUACUCCUGUUUUAUUCUUUGUUGCUGUUAUAAAUGGGAUUUUCUUAAUUUCCCUUUGUAGUUUUCCAUUGUUCACGUAUAGAAACGCAACUGUUGUUUUUAUAUUGAUUUUUGUAUCCUGCAACUUUCCUGAGCUUGUCUAUUCCACUUUUUGGUGGUGGUUUUGGUUUUCUUGGGAUUUUUUUGGUACAAUCUUUAGGGUUUUCUACAAAUAAGAUCCUAUCAUUUAUAAACAGAUAGUUUUACUUCUUACAGUUAGGAUGCCUUUUCUUUUUCUUGCCUAAUUGCUGUGGUGAGGACUUCUAGUAGGAUGUGUAUGUAAUAGGAGUGGUGAGAGUGGACAUCCUUGUCUUGUUCCUGACCUUAGAGGAAAAUUUCAGUCUUUUUUCACCAAGUAGAAGGUUAGCUGUGGGCUUUUUAUAUGCUCCUUAGUAAGUCAGGGCAGAUUCCUUCUAUUCGGAGUUAGUUGAGUGUUUUUUUAAAUCACAUCCUUUUUCUGCAUCAAUGGAAAUGAUCAUGUUUUCCCUUUCAUUCUAUUAAUGUGUGUAGUAAAUUAUCAUUUGGUGGAUUUUAUCCCUUAUUGAAAGUGGAGGAUUGAGGUCUCUACUGGUAUCCUGGAGCUGCCUCUUUCCUCCUUCAAUUCUGUCACUGUUUGCUGCAGGUAUGUUUAUAAUUAUUUUAUCUUCUUGAUGAGUUCUCAGCUGUUUUUUAUUUAAACAUGAAGAUGAUGAAAUUAAAGGAUGUCUGGGAUUGA